rnacentral:ncRNA from 1 species
CAAAGGUUUGGUCCUGACUUUACUAUCAAUUUUAACUGGAGUUAUACAUGCAAGUAUCCGCGCCCCUGUGAGGAUGCCCACAAUUUUCUGAUGAAAACUAGGAGCUGGUAUCAGGCUCAGAUAUCCUAUGCCUACGACGCCUUGCUUGGCCACACCCCCAAGGGAAUACAGCAGUAAUAAACAUUAAGCUAUAAGUGAAAACUUGACUUAGUCACAGUUAAUAGGGUCGGUUAAAACUUGUGCCAGCCACCGCGGUUAUACAAGGGACCCAAAUUGAUACAUACGGCGUAAAGGGUGGUUAGACCUUGCAAUAUUACUAGAACCGAACCUACCCCAGACUGUUAUACGUUUACGGAGUAAUGAAGCCCACAAACGAAAGUAGUUCUAAGCAAUUGAAGCCACGAAAGCUAGGGAACAAACUGGGAUUAGAUACCCCACUAUGCCUAGUCAUAAACCCCGAUAAUAUUUUACAUUAAUUAUCCGCCAGGGUACUACGAGCGUAAGCUUAAAACCCAAAGGACUUGGCGGUGCUUUAGACCCCCCUAGAGGAGCCUGUUCUAUAACCGAUGAUCCCCGUUAAACCUCACCCUCUUUUGCUCAUCCCGCUUGUAUACCCCCGUCGUCAGCUUACCCUUUGAGGGCUCACUAGUAAGCAAAAUUGACUAUACUCCAAAACGUCAGGUCGAGGCGCAGCGAAUAAGAGGGGAAGAAAUGGGCUACAUUUACUAUUAUAGUAAACUUACGGAAAGAGCACUGAAACUGGUGCCCCAGAAGGAGGAUUUAGAAGUAAGGUGGGAAUAGAGUGCCCCCCUGAAACUGGCCCUGAAGCGCGCACACACCGCCCGUCACUCUCCCCACACAAUAAGUAUCUACUUAUUUUAAAAGGCAUUAUCUUAUUAACUUUAGGGGAGGCAAGUCGUAACAUGGUAAGCGUACCGGAAGGUGCUCUUGGAAAAA